GUAUGAUGUUUCCUCUGAAACCCAAAACACUUUGGUGAAUGUGGAGCCCUAUAGCGGAAUUUGAUUGUUUGUUAUUGCCUUAGUGCAGAUAAAGGCCACCACCACAGAACUGACCUCCUGAGACUGAAGAUGAGUGCUGAUCAAAAAUCAGGUACAA